rnacentral:hammerhead_ribozyme from 1 species
AUCCAGCUGAUGAGUCCCAAACAGGACAAAACGAGCAUUCUGGAU